rnacentral:rRNA from 1 species
CCUACGGGUGGCAGCAGUGAGGAAUAUUGGUCAAUGGACGAGAGUCUGAACCAGCCAAGUAGCGUGAAGGAUGACUGCCCUAUGGGUUGUAAACUUCUUUUAUAAAGGAAUAAAACGAGGCACGUGUGCCUUUUUGCAUGUACUUUAUGAAUAAGGAUCGGCUAACUCCGUGCCAGCAGCCGCGGUAAUACGGAGGAUCCGAGCGUUAUCCGGAUUUAUUGGGUUUAAAGGGAGCGUAGAUGGGUUGUUAAGUCAGUUGUGAAAGUUUGUGGCUCAACCGUAAAAUUGCAAUUGAUACUGGCAGUCGUGAGUACAGUUGAGGUAGGCGGAAUUCGUGGUGUAGCGGUGAAAUGCUUAGAUAUCACGAAGAACCCCGAUUGCGAAGGCAGCUUACUAAACUGUGACUGACAUUGAUGCUCGAAAGUGUGGGUAUCAAACAGGAUUAGAUACCCGAGUAGUC